GAGGUGAAGGAAGAAGGGGGACAAUGUCACGACCCGGGUCUUAUCCAUUGAUAGCUGACAGGGUACAGCAAGAGUUGGGUGAGGAAGAGUGGUACAGGAGGGAGGAAGGAGAAGGUAGGUCAGAUGCAGAGAAAACAGAGAGAGAGAUGUUCAGAGUCAAUUUCUUCACACCCCACAUGCUGGCCAACUGUGCCCCUUAUAUCACACACGUAACCACACUCUUACAUGUGGGCUUAUGCUCCACAAUACCAGCUCACAGAGCCAUCCGACUUGAGAAUCGCGCUGGUGCUUGCUCGGUCUGCCUGCUGGAUCUGGCUUCUUCAGGGGCAGGCGACUCGUGGUCCGUCAUCAGCACUGACGCUGGUGAGGGCGUGACAGAAAAUGAUUGGCAGUCUGUCACACGCAGACAACAUCAUGUCCGAACAAAAUUCCAUUAUUCCUGCAAACCAUGGUGGUUGGGCUGCUGGUGGCCAUGGUGAAGGAGAAGGUUUCCAGCUACAUGCUAGACUAAUACAUGGUGAUGAAGGGCAUGGAGACGCAGCACAAGAUCCUGAAUCUGAAUCUGCUCCCAGUCAUCCUGAGUCAUCACCAAGGCCGAGAAGGCAGCAACCCACUGAGAAUGGAUCAAGGCCUAGCUCAAGGAGCUCAAGGUGCUUACAAAGAGAAUGAAGUCGUUCAAGUACGAGGUUUUUGCGGCCAACCCAAGAAGAAGGGACACUACUCAGAGAUCGGCUUUGAUGUGAUAAAAGCUCUUUCCAGAUCACAUCCAUUUUAUAUUCCAUAAUAUGAAUGCCUUUGUGUUUAAAUAUGGCAACAAGGGUCGACACCCAAGCAGUAGCGGUAAAUAGAUUCUGUCAUUGGUUGACCCAGAGAACAUUAUAGGCCAAUCAAGAGAUUAAGAGAAGCAUGCCAUUCUACAGACUCUAACUGGUCAACCUAUCACUAAUAGUCUCAUGGUCCUUCCCAAUGUUGUAAUGGGUGGAUUGGGCAAGACCACCUUGGCACACUCACCUACAACGACCCUAUAUGGCUAUAUCCAGAAUCAUUUCCAACUGCAGAGGUGGGUCUGUGGAUCACAGAAUUUUGAUGUUUGUGUCCUAGCCCGCAAGAUCUUCCAAAGCUUUCGAGAGAAGGAAAAUGAGAACAUACUCCAGGAGCUCAGAGGAGAGCUCAGUGGACAUGGGUACCUAUCAGUACUGGAAGAUGCCUGUACCUUUGUAUUGGUGAUAUAUUGCAACAAAGAAAUUGUGUAACUCAUGAGUACGGUUGGAGGCCAGGACAUAGUAGUUUUGGACAGGGAGCUCAUAAAGGAAAUGAUUGAAAAAGGGUAUUCUGUUUGCAGUAGAGCAAAUUGGCUUCUGAGCUGAUUGUUAUGGUUGAUGAGUUUGCGGACAGAUUGUGGUUGGUCUCCUUUAUUUCGCUGCCAAAAAUCACUUGAAUUAGUAAUGCACACCCAAGGCAAGGGCAGAAAAAGGGGAGGCUGUAGUAUACAAAAGCAUCAUUUGACCAAGGGAAUGGUUUUUUUUAGCAAUACUCAAGCUCAGCUGCAACGACUUGGCAUCACGUAUGUAGCAGUCAUUUUUGUUUUAUGUGCUGUGUUUCUCAACAAUUAUGUGAUCCAAGACCACACAUGGCUUUUCCCCUGAACAAAAGGAAAUUCAUUUUGAAACCAUUGGCAAACAAAUUUUCAUUGAGCUGGAGUCUUAGGUCGUUCUUUCAGGACGUGAAGCAGGUCACAGUCAACGAAAUUGUGCACAUUGAGGGGUGUUAUUCCAGAUAAACAUGUACUCCCUCCGUUCCCAAAUAUUUGUCUUUCUAGGCAUUUCAAAUGGACUCAACAUACGGAUGUAUGUAUACAUAUUUUAAAGUGUAGAUUCACUCAUUUUGCGCCGUAUGUAGUCACUUGUUGAAAUCUCUAGAAAGACAAGUAUUUAGGAACGGAGGGAGUAAAAUCCAAGAUCUGAUGUAUGAUAUUGCACUGUCUCUAUGGAAAGAAGUAUGUGUUGUAGGAAGCAAAUCAGAUCGAGUGGCUUCAAAUAAUUCUGAUGUGUGUCCCUUUCAAAACUGUUACAGAGACCCUUUGCUGUAUGAACUAUUUGAACCGCUAUCUACUUGCUCAUCAAGGAAAACUAUUUAUAUGCUCUGUUCAAGAAAUUCACGAGGAUUGCCCUCAGUAUGCAUAAAUGUUAACUGAACUUUGCGCUGGAUACAAGAGUAGUCCAUCUAUCAAGUUACAGAAACAUGAGGAAUCACAUGGUGAAAAACUGAGUUUCUAUAAAAUUUCCGUGUUUCGUUUUCUUAGUGUAAUAAGAAUUGCCUAGCAGUCUCAAUCUUGUAAGUUGACGUUUCUAAUGUUAUGAUGUUACUGCUGCAUCAAGACUUUUACUAAUGUGGAGUGCUUCAAGGCCCAUAACCAAACUAUUCAUUGGCAUGUUCAUUGUGGUGUCUGUGGCACUAAACAGCUUAAGAAGACUUCAAGCGGCAUCAGUUAAUGCAUGACGGUUAAUUUGUCACUUAGAGGAUGAAAUGCAACUUGGGGAAUUGCAAGUGCUCAUUUCAAAGCUUUCAACUUCAGAAAUCCAAUUUGGACAAUCCAAUCUGAUUCUCUGGGUGUGGCAAGAAGUUUUCAUACAAGGGACAAUCACUAGAAAUCUAGUGCUCACGUGCAUGCUGAGGUAAACACACAAAAUAACCACUCAAAUCUUUGGCUCCUGUGCUCAUGUUACUCUUGCUAGGAACUUCUAGUCCGCACUAGGAUGUUCACAAUUUUGCAUCAAAUCUUUGCAGGGCGAUUUUGUGGAGUGAUGCAAGAGGAAGCCCAUU